UACCAGCACCCCGAGUGGUCGGGACGAUUAUUGGGCCUAAAGCAUCCGUAGCCGGUCCUACAAGUCUUCCGUUAAAUCCACCUGCUCAACAGAUGGGCUGCGGAAGAUACUAUAGGGCUAGGAGGCGGGAGAGGCAAGCGGUACUCAGUGGGUAGGGGUAAAAUCCUCUGAUCCAUUGAAGACCACCAGUGGCGAAGGCGGCUUGCCAGAACGCGCACGACGGUGAGGGAUGAAAGCUGGGGGAGCAAACCGG
rnacentral:rRNA from 1 species